ACGAUCUUACUUGAACAGGAUCUGUUCUAUAGGAGGAUACCGUUGCAUCCUUGAUUAAUAAGGAGGCAAGCACUUAAGCCUGGUUGAUGAGUCAUGACCUGUGGGCCAGGGGUGGCUUACAGGUUGUCUGACAGGCU
rnacentral:snoRNA from 1 species